UGCGCUGUUUGAGCGGCCGAUAUCUGAUUAGCUAGUUGGUGGGGUAAAGGCCUACCAAGGCGACGAUCAGUAGCGGGUCUGAGAGGAUGAUCCGCCACACUGGGACUGAGACACGGCCCAGACUCCUACGGGAGGCAGCAGUGGGGAAUUUUGGACAAUGGGCGCAAGCCUGAUCCAGCCAUGCCGCGUGUCUGAAGAAGGCCUUCGGGUUGUAAAGGACUUUUGUCAGGGAAGAAAAGGGCGGGGUUAAUACCCCUGUCUGAUGACGGUACCUGAAGAAUAAGCACCGGCUAACUACGUGCCAGCAGCCGCGGUAAUACGUAGGGUGCGAGCGUUAAUCGAAAUUACUGGGCGUAAAGCGGGCGCAGACGGUUACUUAAGCAGGAUGUGAAAUCCCCGGGCUCAACCUGGGAACUGCGUUCUGAACUGGGUGACUAGAGUGUGUCAGAGGGAGGUAGAAUUCCACGUGUAGCAGUGAAAUGCGUAGAGAUGUGGAGGAAUACCGAUGGCGAAGGCAGCCUCCUGGGAUAACACUGACGUUCAUGCCCGAAAGCGUGGGUAGCAAACAGGAUUAGAUACCCUGGUAGUCCACGCCCUAAACGAUGUCGAUUAGCUGUUGGGCAGCAUGACUGCUUAGUAGCGAAGCUAACGCGUGAAAUCGACCGCCUGGGGAGUACGGUCGCAAGAUUAAAACUCAAAGGAAUUGACGG
rnacentral:rRNA from 1 species